rnacentral:rRNA from 1 species
CGGCGAACGGGUGAGUAACACGUGGGCAACCUGCCCUUGGCUCUGGGAUAACUCCGGGAAACCGGGGCUAAUACCGGAUACGACCACUGAUGACAUCUUCUGGUGGUGGAAAGAAUUUCGGCCAAGGAUGGGCCCGCGGCCUAUCAGCUUGUUGGUGGGGUAAUGGCCUACCAAGGCGACGACGGGUAGCCGGCCUGAGAGGGCGACCGGCCACACUGGGACUGAGACACGGCCCAG